rnacentral:rRNA from 1 species
UCCGUAGGUGGAUAAUUAAGUCAGAGGUGAAAGUUUGCAGCUCAACUGUAAAAUUGCCUUUGAUACUGGUUAUCUUGAGUUAUUGUGAAGUAGUUAGAAUAUGUAGUGUAGCGGUGAAAUGCAUAGAUAUUACAUAGAAUACCAAUUGCGAAGGCAGAUUACUAACAAUAUACUGACACUGAUGGACGAAAGCGUGGGUCGCGAACAGGAUUAGAUACCCUGGUAGUCC